rnacentral:rRNA from 1 species
CACGUAGGGGGCAAGCGUUGUCCGGAUUUAUUGGGCGUAAAGAGCGUGUAGGCGGCCUUACAGGUCAGCUGUGAAAACUCGAGGCUCAACCUCGAGACGUCGGUUGAAACCGUAAGGCUAGAGUCCGGAAGAGGAGAGUGGAAUUCCCGGUGUAGCGGUGAAAUGCGCAGAUAUCGGGAAGAACACCCGUGGCGAAGGCGGCUCUCUGGGACGGUACUGACGCUGAGACGCGAAAGCGUGGGGAGCGAACAGG